GGCCUCUGGUUUUUUUUUGAGGUUUGGCCUGCCCAGUGAAGGUUUAAACGGCCGCGGUAUUUUGACCGUGCAAAGGUAGCAUAAUCAUUAGUCUUUUAAUAGGAGGCUGGAAUGAACGGCUCGACGAAAUAUCAGCUGUCUCAUUAUAAUAUUUUAUAAUUUAUUUUUUAAGUUAAAAAUCUUAAAUUUAGUUGGAAGACGAGAAGACCCUAUAGAGCUUUAUUUUUAAACUUUAAUAUUGUUUUUGUUUUAUCAUUUUUUAUUAAUUUUUAUUAGUUUUGUUGGGGUGAUGAAAAAUAUAUAUGUAACUUUUUUAUUUAUAAAACAUUUAUUUAUGAUAUUUAGAUCCAUUAUUAUUGAUUGUUAGAUUAAGUUACCUUAGGGAUAACAGCGUAAUCCUUUUUGGGAGUUCAAAUCUACAAUAGGGCUUGCGACCUCGAUGUUGGAUUAAGAUAAUGAUUAGGUGCAGUAGCUUAAUUAAUAGGUCUGUUCGACCUUUAAAUUCUUACAUGAUCUGAGUUCAGACCGG
rnacentral:rRNA from 1 species